rnacentral:rRNA from 1 species
UGUUGGGGAAAAGACCGCGUGGGGGAGAGGCUCUUGGGUUGUAAACCCCUUUUCUCUGGGAAGAAAGUUGUGAAAGCAGCCUGACGGUACCAGAGGAAUCAGCAUCGGCUAACUCCGUGCCAGCAGCCGCGGUAAGACGGAGGAUGCAAGCGUUAUCCGGAAUGAUUGGGCGUAAAGCGUCCGCAGGUGGCAGUUCAAGUCUGCUGUCAAAGACCGGGGCUUAACUUCGGAAAGGCAGUGGAAACUGAACAGCUAGAGUAUGGUAGGGGCAGAGGGAAUUCCUGGUGUAGCGGUGAAAUGCGUAGAGAUCAGGAAGAACAUC